rnacentral:antisense_RNA from 1 species
CUUGAGCGAGCCGAGCCAUAGCGGGUCGUCGGCGUCGCGCUCCUGGCCGUAGGUGGCGAGGAGGGCCUGGGCCUC